GAUGAACGCUGGCGGCUUGCCUAAUACAUGCAAGUCGAGCGAACGGACGAGAAGCUUGCUUCUCUGAUGUUAGCGGCGGACGGGUGAGUAACACGUGGAUAACCUACCUAUAAGACUGGGAUAACUUCGGGAAACCGGAGCUAAUACCGGAUAAUAUUUUGAACCGCAUGGUUCAAAAGUGAAAGACGGUCUUGCUGUCACUUAUAGAUGGAUCCGCGCUGCAUUAGCUAGUUGGUAAGGUAACGGCUUACCAAGGCAACGAUGCAUAGCCGACCUGAGAGGGUGAUCGGCCACACUGGAACUGAGACACGGUCCAGACUCCUACGGGAGGCAGCAGUAGGGAAUCUUCCGCAAUGGGCGAAAGCCUGACGGAGCAACGCCGCGUGAGUGAUGAAGGUCUUCGGAUCGUAAAACUCUGUUAUUAGGGAAGAACAUAUGUGUAAGUAACUGUGCACAUCUUGACGGUACCUAAUCAGAAAGCCACGGCUAACUACGUGCCAGCAGCCGCGGUAAUACGUAGGUGGCAAGCGUUAUCCGGAAUUAUUGGGCGUAAAGCGCGCGUAGGCGGUUUUUUACGUCUGAUGUGAAAGCCCACGGCUCAACCGUGGAGGGUCAUUGGAAACUGGAAAACUUGAGUGCAGAAGAGGAAAGUGGAAUUCCAUGUGUAGCGGUGAAAUGCGCAGAGAUAUGGAGGAACACCAGUGGCGAAGGCGACUUUCUGGUCUGUAACUGACGCUGAUGUGCGAAAGCGUGGGGAUCAAACAGGAUUAGAUACCCUGGUAGUCCACGCCGUAAACGAUGAGUGCUAAGUGUUAGGGGGUUUCCGCCCCUUAGUGCUGCAGCUAACGCAUUAAGCACUCCGCCUGGGGAGUACGACCGCAAGGUUGAAACUCAAAGGAAUUGACGGGGACCCGCACAAGCGGUGGAGCAUGUGGUUUAAUUCGAAGCAACGCGAAGAACCUUACCAAAUCUUGACAUCCUUUGACAACUCUAGAGAUAGAGCUUUCCCCUUCGGGGGACAAAGUGACAGGUGGUGCAUGGUUGUCGUCAGCUCGUGUCGUGAGAUGUUGGGUUAAGUCCCGCAACGAGCGCAACCCUUAAGCUUAGUUGCCAUCAUUAAGUUGGGCACUCUAAGUUGACUGCCGGUGACAAACCGGAGGAAGGUGGGGAUGACGUCAAAUCAUCAUGCCCCUUAUGAUUUGGGCUACACACGUGCUACAAUGGACAAUACAAAGGGCAGCGAAACCGCGAGGUCAAGCAAAUCCCAUAAAGUUGUUCUCAGUUCGGAUUGUAGUCUGCAACUCGACUACAUGAAGCUGGAAUCGCUAGUAAUCGUAGAUCAGCAUGCUACGGUGAAUACGUUCCCGGGUCU
rnacentral:rRNA from 1 species